rnacentral:rRNA from 1 species
UAGUCCACGCCGUAAACUAUGGAAGCUAGCCGUUGGGGAAUUUAUUCUUCAGUGGCGCAGCUAACGCAUUAAGCUUCCCGCCUGGGGAGUACGGUCGCAAGAUUAAAACUCAAAUGAAUUGACGGGGGCCCGCACAAGCGGUGGAGCAUGUGGUUUAAUUCGAUGCAACGCGAAGAACCUUACCAGAGCUUGACAUGUCGCAAAUUUUUACGAAAGUUUAAAGUGCCUUAGGGAAUGCGAACACAGGUGGUGCAUGGCCGUCGUCAGCUCGUGUCGUGAGAUGUUGGGUUAAGUCCCGCAACGAGCGCAACCCUUGUCUUUAGUUGCCAUCAUUUAGUUGGGCACUCUAGAGAAACUGCCAGUGACAAACCGGAGGAAGGUAAGGAUGACGUCAAGUCAGCAUGCCCCUUACGCUCUGGGCUACACACGUGCUACAAUGGUCGUGACAAAGAGUUGCUAGUCUGCGAAGGCAAGCCAAUCUCAUAAACGCGGCCUUAGUUCGGAUUGC